rnacentral:rRNA from 1 species
GACGUAGGGCGCGAGCGUUGUCCGGAUUUAUUGGGCGUAAAGAGCUCGUAGGCGGCUUGUCACGUCGGAUGUGAAAGCCCGGGGCUUAACCCCGGGUCUGCAUUCGAUACGGGCAGGCUAGAGUGUGGUAGGGGAGAUCGGAAUUCCUGGUGUAGCGGUGAAAUGCGCAGAUAUCAGGAGGAACACCGGUGGCGAAGGCGGAUCUCUGGGCCAUUACUGACGCUGAGGAGCGAAAGCGUGGGGAGCGAACAGG